rnacentral:rRNA from 1 species
UACAGAGGGUGCGAGCGUUAAUCGGAGUUACUGGGCGUAAAGGGCGCGUAGGCGGGCUAUAAAGUCAGUGGUGAAAUCUUUCAGCUCAACUGGAAAAGUGCCGCUGAUACUGAUAGUCUCGAGGGAGGUAGGGGUCGAUGGAACUAAUGGUGGAGCGGUGAAAUGCGUAGAUAUCAUUAGGAACGCCGGUGGCGAAAGCGAUCGACUGGACCUCUUCUGACGCUGAGGCGCGAAAGCUAGGGGAGCAAACGGG